UUAGUUUUACCCAUAUAUGAACUUACGUGUUGUGUUAAAGUGAAAGGGUAUACUAGAUUUAUCUGUUCUUAUCAGCUUACCAUCUGAGAGUUCCUCCAUUGGAGGACAACAAAUGUUAAACUGAUUUUUGGGAUCAGACGGAGUGCUAGGGGCUUGCUGCCCCGGUAUUGCAGUAACGCCGGGAUUUCGGCCCAACUGAA